rnacentral:tRNA from 1 species
GCUGUAGCUCAGUGGUAGAGUGCUUGCCUAGCAUGUGUGAGGCACUGAGGUUUGAUCCUCAGCACUGCA